GACAGAGGGUGCAAACGUUGUUCGGAAUUACUGGGCGUAAAGCGUGUGUAGGCGGUUCUGUAAGUCAGGUGUGAAAGCCCGGGGCUCAACCCCGGAAGUGCACUUGAUACUGCAGGGCUAGAGUACCGGAGAGGUUGGUGGAAUUCUCGGUGUAGAGGUGAAAUUCGUAGAUAUCGAGAGGAACACCGGUGGCGAAGGCGGCCAACUGGACGGAUACUGACGCUGAGACACGAAAGCGUGGGGAGCAAAC
rnacentral:rRNA from 1 species